rnacentral:lncRNA from 1 species
GAUGGCUUCACAGCUUUACGAAAUAAAAGACAUACAUGCACGUUUUACUAAACAUAUUCAUUUGUUUUUUUUCAUAGUACAGACGCAGACGCUCGACAUAUGCAUACACUCACUCAUAUGAAGUUAUGAACAGACACACGCACACCCUAUCUCUAUGAGCACCUCCGAUAGACUGAGCCGGGACAUCAUUUUGAGAUUGACGGAAACGUCACAGGCGCCUUCAUAGUCUCGUAGUCAGUGGGAACGUCUUCUCCCACUGUUCGCACAUUGUCUGAAUGCCUAUAAUUAAUCCAGAAAAAUGCAACCCCAGUGACAAGUCUAGGCCUUGAACUCUAGUGGGUUAUUUCCACCAAAGAGAAACUAACCAUCUAAGCUACACUCAGUAACUUGUUCAUUUGCUAGAGUGCAACUUAUUAUGGAAUAUGAUUUCACCAAAGAAAAAAAAGAAUAAUAUAUCUUGUGGAGCAGACAAGGAGGUUCAGAUGUCGGAAAUUCAAUUCGGCUCUUGGAAGCAUAUGUGCUACUGCGCAACAAAAAAUGUUUUUGCAAAUGUCACUCAAAUGCUAGAUACAAAAUUUUAGGGGAAAAUUUUAAGCAUUUUGACCCGUGCAAAAAAAACAAGCUGAACGCCAAAUGUUACAUUUAAAGGCAAAGGUACAUUGUUCUCCUGUAAUUUACAUAGCACAAUUUGACCGAAGAAAUGUAAAUACAUAGGCUUGUCCAAAUAUGUGAAGCAUAGUAAGUCAUUACCAAAAACCGCCAGAAAAAGAGCACUCUCUCAACUAUAUCAUUUGUGGUGUGAACCUAAAGCACAUGCUCUGAUCAGUAAGAGAUUCAUUAAUUAAAAUAGGGAGGAGGAAGCAGAGCACACCACACAAGCUUGCAUAUAUACAUAAAGGAAUUAGGGGAAGCUCACCAUGGAGUGUUGGCAUUAGCCAUGUUCAUUGUCGCUUCACAGGUGUGGUCACAGGUGCGUCCCUUCCUAAGCCGCUUUGGACGCCUCUCCAGGCUACUGCACCAUGCAUUGCGCUCACCACUACCGCACCAAUAAAAGAGACUUUAACCACCAGCCCUUGGCAAGCGAGCCUUCAUUGGCGCCACCCUAUGGCGCCACCUGAGAGGUGAUUGGGGCGGUGCCAGGUUGGUACACGUGCCUUUCAUAUUCUUGUUUACAAUUUGUGUGGGGUUGCUGCAUAGAAGCACUGGCUCUUCAAUGUAUUAUAGCAAAGUGUGAUUAUCUAUUACAAGCAGGGGACAUCUAUUCAGAGCACAACUACAAACAACUGAUAGCAUAAAUUCUAUAACAGAUAAUUGAUCAUGUUGGACAAGUGGAAAAGCUCAAUCAGCAUGGAGGUGGGCAUUGUCAUGCGUCGGCGAGGAGCCUUGGGAGAUCAGCUCGGCGCCCUCGUGCCAUGGCUGCACCGUCGGAGAUGUGGUGUUCGCAUGGAGAAGACCAAGAUGCCACCUCUGGUUUCCAGCGCGAGCGUCACCAGUAGACAUGGAAUUACCUUUAACCCAAGACUUCCUUUGUCAGAUGUAAUAGUGCAAAACAAUUAACCUUUCAGUGUAAGAGGACAUAACCCAUAUUUAACCAUUUGAUUUUCUCCUAUAAGUGAACAAAAGGAUGUAUGUCAGUGUACUUGAAAAUAGAUCAAUUUGGUAACAAGACACCAUGAAUUUGUAGUACUGCCCAACACUGAUAACACCCUAAUAUUUAAAAUAAUUUUGGAUGGCGGGUGGACGAGACAAACUUUGUUGGCCUAUGAGUGAAAACAAAUAGUGUUUGCCUUAUUAAUGUUUUAAGUAAAAGAAUAAUUAACAGAGGCAUGAAUCUUGAGAAGAUUACCGAGGCUAAAUUGAGCGGCACACCAUCGAGAUGCACGACGGGACGACAAGCUCGGCUCCUGGCGAUGGGCGGCAUGUGGCCAUGUGCGUCCAUGCCUAAAAUGACCAGCAUCCCGACAAUGGCAAAAACAUGGCCGAACUUCUAAUCUGCGCACUUGAGCUGAUAACCCAUAUUUAACCAUUUGAUUUUCUCCUAUAAGUGAACAAAAGGAUGUAUGUCAGUGUACUUGGAAAUAGAUCAAUUUGGUAACAAGACACCAAAUUUGUAGUACUGCCCGACACUGAUACCACCCUAAUAUUUAAAAUAAUUUUGGAUGGUGGGUGGACGAAGACAAACUUUGUUGGCCUAUGAGUGAAAACAUAUAUUGUUUGUCUGAUUAAUGUUUUUAAUAAAAGAAUAAUUAACCGAGGCAUGAAUCUUGAGAAGAUUACCUAGGCUAAAUUGAGAGGCACACCAUCGAGAUGCAUGACGGGACAACAAGCUCGGUGCCCGGCGAUGGGCGGUAGGUGGCCAUGUGUGUCCACGCCUAAAAUGACCAGCAUCCUGACAAUGGCAAAAACAUGGUUGAACUUCCAAUCUGCGCACUUGAGCUGAUAAAUCUCUGGAGUAGAAGAUAAAGUAGAUAAAGUGAAGACUGCAUAUACCAACUAUGUGCAAAAUCUUGACCAAGAAUGAUAACAAAGACUCCAAUUCCAACAAGCAUUACCUGAUGCAGAAGAACAAACGUUGAAAUGCAGUUAAAUUUUGAACAAAAAAAAAUAGAAGUUCAACAAAACUAUUGACGAAUUGCAGCGAUGUAUAAUUACUUGUUAUAAUGUGGUGGUAUCACGGAAGAAAUGCAUUGAAACAUUAAGUUCUGCUAGGCAUAGUUCAGAGUUUUUUUGUUGGAAGAUAACAAUGCACACAUAAAUCAAUCUUACUGAAUUUGUUACAUGCCCACACCCGAAAUAUUAUGACUAUAAGCAUUUUUUAUCUAUUAAAAGAAAAGAUCAUUAGGAAACAGUACAAGCCACCCAAAAAAGGAUGAAGGAACCUUUUUAUAUGUCUGACAAAUGUUCCGGUAAUUAGAGAUAGCUUAGUCAAUACACGAUUGGUCACUUAUGAUCUGCACAUCUUAUCCUGCUUGACUACCACACUAUCUUGCAUCUUGGACCCAGUGUAACUUUCACAUUCAGGAAGUUGAUCCGGUUGCAGUGUUAGAGAGCACAUUUGCAUCUUAUCCUCAUCUUAUUCUCAGCUUUCUGAAUAUAUAAGCAGCAGAGCAUGAACAUGUAUAGGGAGAGGUGGUCGGGCCGCAAAGAGGGCAUCACCUUCGCAAAAUCGGAAGAGGUGGUCGGGGAGGCAGAGAAUCGACACAGCCGCCGGGUUCUUCGGCGGAAGACGGCGAGCAGGACGGGGAUGACUUGUUGGGGACGGAGGAGCCGGUCGGUGAUGGCGGCAGACGAGGGCGGGGAUGUGUGGUCGGGGACGGAGGAGAUGGUCCGCGACGGCGGCGGACGGAGGCGAGCAGGGCGGGGAUGGCUUCACAGCAUGGACGAGCGGCAGCUGCCGGCGCUGAAGGUGCGGUCCGCCAUGGCUGCUGCGUGCGGCGGCUAGGGUUGGGGGAAGGGGAAAGAGCCUCGAGGGUUGGGGGAGGGGNN